rnacentral:rRNA from 1 species
AUGAACGCUGGCGGCGUGCCUAAUCCCUGCAAGUCGAGCGAACAGACGAGGAGCUUGCUCCUCUGGCGUUAGCGGCGGACGGGUGAGUAACACGUGGAUAACCUACCUAUAAGACUGGGAUAACUUCGGGAAACCGGAGCUAAUACCGGAUAAUAUAUUGAACCGCAUGGUUCAAUAGUGAAAGACGGUUUUGCUGUCACUUAUAGAUGGAUCCGCGCCGCAUUAGCUAGUUGGUAAGGUAACGGCUUACCAAGGCAACGAUGCGUAGCCGACCUGAGAGGGUGAUCGGCCACACUGGAACUGAGACACGGUCCAGACUCCUACGGGAGGCAGCAGUAGGGAAUCUUCCGCAAUGGGCGAAAGCCUGACGGAGCAACGCCGCGUGAGUGAUGAAGGUCUUCGGAUCGUAAAACUCUGUUAUUAGGGAAGAACAAAUGUGUAAGUAACUAUGCACGUCUUGACGGUACCUAAUCAGAAAGCCACGGCUAACUACGUG